CCGAACAACAAAAUGCAGCUAUUCACUUGCUGGGGAACGUAGGAUAAAUGUUGGUGUGGUCGUCUUCGGUAGAGUCUCCACGGUAAAGACCGAGGAUCCGGUUUCCUGAUGACAACUGAUGAAUAAACCACUGAAGUCUCCUCUUCCACCUGCAACACGACAAAUUCCAUUACAUGAACAAAACAACACACACAUGCUUGUUCAUUGCAGCAUUGUAGAUAGUUUUAGGUUAUGACAUAAUCAUCAUCACCAUAAUUAUAUAACACUUACCCUGCUAUUCAAGCCCCAGCAACAAAGGUGAACAGGAAACGCUUUGAAGAGAUAGACACAGAAUCAUGGGGGGGCAUACGUGUCUAGCCCAUUGUCAAACAUCUACUUCUCUUUCAAGGCAGCAUACCAAUAUACAAACAAUAAACAGGAAGUUCAGUAAGACAAAGAGCUGCAUGUCCUACCUGCCCACAAUCUUUGUCUGAGGUGGUAAAUUAAAAGUGCCAUUAAAAUAAGACAUGUAAGGGCUGCCGAUGUUCCAUAAACAACUGGAAUCAGAUAUUCAAGCUCUGUGGGUAUAUCUGUAAAACCAAAAAACGUAAGAAUUGAAAUUCCUUUGCUUCGCGCUACUGACCUCCUUAAAGAGAGAUACAGCAAAACACCCACCUGUUGUUAUGUUUAAAGUAUUUGAUGGUCCAUGAGUGCUGUUACCUGAACUGCAUCCAUCAGACAUCUGCUUUGCACUGCAAUUUAUUCCAUUUGUAUCUACAAGCACUGAUAUUGUCCUUGUGCCUGUCUCCACAUAGAGUGUGCUGUUUGGUUUGAUAUUACUGAAUUCCAUGUCACACAUCACAGUACAAGAAACAAAUGAAUCAUCACUGUGGUGUACUGUAAUAAAGCAAAAAAAAUAUUCUAA